UCAAAUCCAGAUUCACUGCCACUAUAUGAGUUAUUUAUAGAAAUAAUGAUAUCGAAGCUACGUUCCAGUUACAAUGAUGACUUUGCUCCUGAUGAUCCGAUUGGCUUUGAUCGUCCAGAGCAGAAUCCUCAGAUGAAUAUAGCUCCUCCUUUAAGGCGAGAGUCGCUUGGGAAAUUUGUUGGUGGCUUGUAUCGUUUGACUGAGAGUUUCUUUACAACAAAAAAGAAGACGAG
rnacentral:lncRNA from 1 species